AACCUUCCAAAAGGGCCGCUGAGCGCCUAUAUUCCCGGUGUUCGGGCUUGCCCGGACUAUGGAGAUAAACGCGCGCGAAAUAAGCGGACUGGACCCGGGUGCGAUUCCCGGCGGCUCCACCAAAUCUUCCCGAGUUAUCGCGGGAUCAUGCGGGGCCGAUCAGCAUCGACAGACGUGUAAAGGCGUUGCUUUCUCUCGGCGUGGCUCACCGUUUCGGGCCAUUAAACUAACUGCGAACGAUAACUUCGCUGAAGAGUACGCGAUCGCCGCGUAAUGCGGUGCUAGCGCACUUGGAAUAAAGCCCGGGGGGUUCAGAUCCUCCGGCGGGGCUCGGAGGGGGCCUGGCAACAGAACCCCUCCACC
rnacentral:tmRNA from 1 species